CAGUUACUCCCUCCGUCCAAAAAUACUUGUCAUUAAAAUGGAUAAAAGGUGAUGUAUCUAAAACUAAAAUACGUCUAAAUACAUCUCCUUUAUCUAUUUUGAUGACAAAUAUUUUCGGACGGAGGGAGUACAUU
rfam:Triticum aestivum genome assembly, contig: Triticum_aestivum_CS42_TGACv1_scaffold_457482_5DS